rnacentral:rRNA from 1 species
AGAGUUUGAUCCUGGCUCAGAAUCAACGCUGGCGGCGUGCCUAACACAUGCAAGUCGAACGAGAAAGUGGAGCAAUCCAUGAGUAAAGUGGCGUCCGGGUGAGUAACACGUGACUAACCUACCUUCGAGUGGGGGAUAACCUCGGGAAACCGGGGCUAAUACCGCAUAAUGCCUUUGGGUUAAAGGAGCAAUUCGCUUGAAGAGGGGGUCGCGGCCGAUUAGGUAGUUGGCGGGGUAACGGCCCACCAAGCCCGUGAUCGGUAGCCGGCCUGAGAGGGCGCACGGCCACACUGGAACUGAAACACGGUCCAGACUCCUACGGGAGGCAGCAGUGGGGAAUUUUGGGCAAUGGGGGAAACCCUGACGCAGCAACGCCGCAUGGAGGAUGAAGUCCUUUGGGACGUAAACUCCUUUCGACCGGGACGAUAUGACGUACCGGUGAAAAAGCUCUUU